rnacentral:misc_RNA from 1 species
CUCCAGCGCGUCCUGCCCGCCGCAGAUGUCGAGCUCACGCUGGCCCAGAUCCAGGCGCCGGAAUCGAGCAGCAGCGACGGCAAGCGCGAUCCACUGCUCAGCCGCCGCUACGUGGUGCCGUUCCUGCUCGCCUGCGUGGUGCUGGCCUGCACCCAGGCUACCGGCAUCAAUUCGGUGCUGGCCUACGCGGUCAACAUCCUCAACCAGGCCGGCCUGUCCGGUUCAGUGGCCAACGGCGCCGACGUGGCGAUCAAGCUGCUCAAUGCGGUGAUGACCGUGGUCGCGUUGCUGCUGGUCGACCGCAAGGGCCGCAAGUUCCUGCUGAUGCUCGGCAGUGGUGGCAUCUGCGUGGCCCUGCUGGCCGCGGCCGCGCUG